GAUGAUGCCUUUAUUUCUGAAAGGCACCAGAUCCCAUCUGUUCUCAGAAGCUAAGACGGGUCAGCCCCAGUUAGCACUUAGAUGGGAGACUACCAACAAACAUCAAGUGCUGUGGACU
rnacentral:rRNA from 11 species